rnacentral:lncRNA from 1 species
AACGAUUUUGGAGACAGUAGGAGUUCCACGUUGAGAGAAAUUCUUGUUGAACCCAAUCAAGUUGUUGUUCCAGUUCCCGUCAUACAGGAAAGAGUUGGUUCCCAACCAAUUGAAGUUGUUAAUGAAGAACUGAGGAACCAGGAGGAAUCUCCAAUUCCUCAAACAACGAUUGAAUCGGUUCCUGAGCCACAAGUUAGGAGAUCACAAAGGGAAAGAAGAUCUGCAUUGCCC